GUCUAUGGCCAUGCCACUCUGAACAAGCCCAAUCCCAUCUGACCUUGGAAGCUAAGCAGGGUCGGGCCUGGUUAGUACCUGGAUGGGAGACCACCUAGGAAGACCAGAUGCUGUAGGUG
rnacentral:rRNA from 1 species